UUUGGUGUUUUUUAUGGCGUUGUCCCACCUCUUACCAUUCCGAACAGAGAAGUGAAAUACGUCAAUGCCGAUGGUACUGCAUUUGUGGGAGAGUAGGUAGAUGCCAGCC
rnacentral:rRNA from 1 species